GUAGGUGAACCUGCGGAAGGAUCAUUAACGAGUUUGAAAAGAGUUGUAGCUGGCCUUCCGAGGCAAUGUGCACACUCUGCUCAUCCACAUACACCUGUGCACAUCGAUAGUCUUUUUUUUGAAGAGGGGGAAAAUAGCCCUUUGGGUGAAAAGUCCCCCCCUCCUUAGAAAAGCUAUUUUUACACACAUACACUUUUAGUUAAGAAUGUAUCUAUUGCUAUAAAACGCAUUAAAUAUAACUUUCAACAACGGAUCUCUUGGCUCUC
rnacentral:misc_RNA from 1 species